UACUAGGAACUGCAUCUGUAUAUUUCAUCAACGUACAACUUAAAUUGUGAUAGACAUUAGCGCUUUGCCUGCUUCAGUUCGCAGUUCAAUGUUGAAUACCUCUCAAAAGCAAACGCUCAGCACAAAAUAAUGUUGAUUUCAGUUCCGCACAGCUCACUCGAAGGAAUUCUGAACAAGUGAACCUGGAAAACGCAUUACUUCGAAUAAGUUACAAGGAAAGCGCUCACAAGGAAAAUGCAGCUGCAAAUGAUAGGAGUGCUCGCAGCGGGUUGGAUCUUUUCCGCGUGUGCUGCGGAAGUUCCCUUCAAUCCAGCGUGUGGUGGAACACUUAGCUUCAGCGAAGGCGUGUGCCACUACAACGGUUUGGAUAUACCGGAAGGUCACACGGCAAUAUUCACAUUCCCAUGUGCACAGGCGCUUUGCAGAGCAAGGAAUAAAAAGGUCGUACUCAGAGGAUGUCCACCACCUAAAAACGUUACAGCAAACGCACCUUUUAUCUCAGCGUGGCCAAACUGCUGUUAUAAAAAUCAUGAUUAAAGUACUUUAAUAUAGAUGGAGUGCGAAUUUAUAUUUGACUUGCCUUUAUUGACGUUUUAUGUAAUAUAUUUCCGAAGAAAGGAAACCGAGUUUGGCCAUCCAGAAUUCAAAAGGCGGUCGUCGCCGAUUCACGCAAAUAAAUCACGGCUCCUUUAGCCUUGUGACUCCCUGGUUCUAAGUCUCGUUUAUUCUAGCAUGCGGGCGGGGUGGAGGUAGAUUGAUAACGCUAUUAAUCCUUAAGUCUUUCAAUAAAGAGUUAGGCCAUUCCAUGAAAAAUUCCUUUUCUCUUUUUGAUAUAGUUUUGAAUUCUUUUGCGGCACUUACCCGCUAGCACUGCCUUAGUUUCGUGCACAUGCUGCGUGAGAGGCGUAUGCAGAAAAACAUUUCCAAAAGAAAGGACAUGCUUUCCUAUAUGAUUACAGGCUUGAGAAGCAGGACUCUGGAUGGCGCGGUAGCGCUGGCUAUGCUGAAGAGCCAUCUAACUG